rnacentral:rRNA from 1 species
GACGAACGCUGGCGGCGUGCCUAAUACAUGCAAGUUGAGCGAUGAAGCUUGGUGCUUGCACCAAUUUGAAGAGCAGCGAACGGGUGAGUAACGCGUGGGGAAUCUGCCUUUGAGCGGGGGACAACAUUUGGAAACGAAUGCUAAUACCGCAUAACAACUUUAAACAUAAGUUUUAAGUUUGAAGGAUGCAAUUGCAUCACUCAAAGAUGAUCCCGCGUUGUAUUAGCUAGUUGGUGAGGUAAAGGCUCACCAAGGCGAUGAUACAUAGCCGACCUGAGAGGGUGAUCGGCCACAUUGGGACUGAGACACGGCCCAAACUCCUACGGGAGGCAGCAGUAGGGAAUCUUCGGCAAGAGACGAAAGUCUGACCGAGCAACGCCGCGGGAGUGAAGAAGGUUUUCGGAUCGUAAAACUCGGUUGGUAGAGAAGAACGUUGGUGAGAGUGGAAAGCUCAUCAAGUGACGGUAACUACCCAGAAAGGGACGGCUAACUACGUG